rnacentral:rRNA from 1 species
UACAGAGGUCUCAAGCGUUGUUCGGAUUCAUUGGGCGUAAAGGGUGCGUAGGCGGGUAAGUAAGUCAGUGGUGAAAUCUCCGGGCUUAACUCGGAAACUGCCGUUGAUACUAUUUAUCUUGAAUAUCAUGGAGGUAAGCGGAAUAUGUCAUGUAGCGGUGAAAUGCUUAGAUAUGACAUAGAACACCGAUAGCGAAGGCAGCUUACUACAUGUUAAUUGACGCUGAGGCACGAAAGCGUGGGGAGCAAACAGG